rnacentral:rRNA from 1 species
CCUACGGGAGGCAGCAGUGGGGAAUAUUGGGCAAUGGAGGAAACUCUGACCCAGCGACGCCGCGUGCGGGAUGAAGGCCUUCGGGUUGUAAACCGCUUUCAGCAGGGAAGAAGCGAAAGUGACGGUACCUGCAGAAGAAGCACCGGCUAACUAUGUGCCAGCAGCCGCGGUAAUACAUAGGGUGCAAGCGUUGUCCGGAAUUAUUGGGCGUAAAGAGCUCGUAGGUGGUUCGUCACGUCGGAUGUGAAAAUCUGGGGCUUAACCCCAGACCUGCAUUCGAUACGGGCGAGCUUGAGUAUGGUAGGGGAGUCUGGAAUUCCUGGUGUAGCGGUGGAAUGCGCAGAUAUCAGGAGGAACACCAAUGGCGAAGGCAGGACUCUGGGGCCAUUACUGACACUGAGGAGCGAAAGCGUGGGGAGCGAACAGGAUUAGAUACCCUGGUAGUCCACGCCGUAAACGGUGGGCACUAGUUGUGGGGACCUUCCACGGUCUCUGCGACGCAGCUAACGCAUUAAGUGCCCCGCCUGGGGAGACGANCGCAGAUAACUACAAGAGUAGUAGACGNGNGAGAGCGACGACGACGACGACGGAGGAGAG